rnacentral:rRNA from 1 species
UACGUAGGGGGCGAGCGUUGUCCGGAAUCAUUGGGCGUAAAGCGCGCGUAGGCGGCCCGGUAAGUCCGUUGUGAAAGUCAAAGGCUCAACCUUUGAACGCCGAUGGAUACUGCCGGGCUAGAGUCCGGAAGAGGCGAGUGGAAUUCCUGGUGUAGCGGUGAAAUGCGCAGAUAUCGGGAGGAACACCAAUGGCGAAGGCAGCUCGCUGGGACGGUACUGACGCUGAGGCGCGAAAGCGUGGGGAGCAAACAGG